GCGUCACACUCCAUGGUAACGGCGCUGAGUCCAAGAUGUCGGCGGAGUGGCGCGGAGGGCCGAGUGACUCGGAUGCGGGCCCAGGCCGGUGGCACCGCAGUGGUUCCCUGUGGGUCCGCGGCGUCUUGCUCCUGCUGGGCGGGCUCCGGGCAGGCUCCACGCCGGUGCCUGUGUCCCUGGGCGGCCCGCUAUGCCGGCAUCACGUCCCCGUGGACGCUGAGGUCAUAAAUAAAGUCCAGCUUAAAGCCAACCAUGUUGUAAAGAGAGAUGUUGAGGAACACUUACGAAUCAAGAUUGUCUAUGAUGAAAGUAUUGAAGAGUUACUCCCUGAAAAAAGACACCUCAUAAAGAACAAACUUUUCCCACAAGCUAUUUCCUACUUGGAAAAGACUCUCCAGGUGCGCAGGCCUGCAGGGACCAUCUUACUUAGCAGGCAAUGUGCAACAAACCAGUACUUGCGGAAGGAGAAUGACCCUCACAGAUACUGUACAGAGGAUUGUGCGGAGCACACGAAGUGUGGCCCAGUGGUGGUGCCUGAGGAGCACCUCCAGCCUUGCAGGGUAUGCCGUGGAGGCAAAUGGCCCUGUCCCUCAGUGGGUGUGCAGGACAAAGAGGGCAUCCAGGAUGCAGACUUUGUUCUGUAUGUUGGAGCCCUGGCCACCGAGAGAUGCAGCCACGAGAACAUCAUCUCUUACGCAGCCUAUUGUCAGCAGGAGUCAGAAGUGGACAGGCCAAUAGCAGGCUAUGCUAACCUGUGUCCAAACAUGAUCUCUACCCAGCCUCAGGAGUUUAUUGGGAUGUUGUCCACAGUGAAACACGAGGUCAUUCACGCCCUGGGUUUCUCUGCUGGGUUGUUUGCAUUCUACCAUGAUAAAGACGGAAAGCCUCUCACCUCCAGGUUUGCAGAUGGCCUCCCACCUUAUAAUUAUAGUCUUGGAUUGUAUCAAUGGAGUGACAAAGUAGUCCGGAAAGUGGAGCGCCUGUGGGAGGUGCGAGAGAACAAGCUGGUUCCCCACACUGUGUAUCUCCUAGUGACGCCUCGAGUUGUUGAUGAAGCACGAAAACAUUUUAACUGUCCAAAUCUGGAAGGAAUGGAGCUUGAAAACCAAGGUGGUAUGGGUACAGAGCUUAACCACUGGGAAAAACGGUUAUUGGAGAAUGAAGCAAUGACUGGCUCUCACACCCAGAACCGAGUACUUUCCCGAAUCACUCUGGCACUGAUGGAGGACACUGGCUGGUACAGAGCUAACUACAGCAUGGCUGAGAAGCUAGACUGGGGUCGAGGAAUGGGCUGUGACUUUGUUCAGAAGAGUUGUAAGUUCUGGAUCGAUCACCAGAGACGGAAACGGCAGAUGCCAAGUCCUUACUGUGACACGCUCAGGAGUAACCCGCUGCAGUUAACUUGCAGACAAGACCAGAGAGCAGUGGCAGUGUGUAAUCUGCAGAAGUUUCCAAAACCUUUACCUCAAGAAUAUCAGUACUUUGAUGAACUCAGUGGGGUACCCGCAGAAGAUCUGCCUUACUAUGGAGGCUCAGUAGAAAUUGCUGACUACUGUCCUUUCAGUCAGGAAUUCAGUUGGCACUUAAGUGGCGAAUAUCAGCGCAGUUCAGAUUGUAGAAUACUGGAAAAUCAACCAGACCUUUUUAAAAACUAUGGUGCAGAAAAGUAUGGACCUCAUUCAGUUUGUUUAAUUCAGAAAUCAGCAUUUGUCAUGGAAAAGUGUGAGAGAAAGCUGAGCUACCCAGACUGGGGGAGUGGAUGUUACCAGGUUUCCUGUUCUCCUCAAGGUCUGACGGUGUGGGUGCAAGACACUUCCUAUCUGUGUAGUAAGGCUGGGCAGGUCCUCCCUGUCAGUAUUCAGUUGAAUGGGUGGAUUUAUGAUGGGAACCUCCUCUGCCCAUCAUGUCUGGACUUCUGUGAACUUUGUCCUCCAGAAACAGACCCUCCAGCCUCGAAUUUGACCCGAGCUCUACCCCUGGGUAAGUGGUCUCAUGAGUGGAGGAGGACAAUUGAAAAGUGGGAGCUUUCCUCAAGGAAGCUUGGAUUCUGCUUGUUUUGCUCCCUCGUGAUGGCUGUUCAUGAGGAGAUGGGUCCUCCCACUUUUAGAAAGUGAAGGUGAACUUGACAUGCCUGUGAAGAUGCUGAGGCAUUGUUCUGUGUGCUCAAGACAUUCACUGAACAUUAGAAAUAAACAGGUAAAGAAAAAUUCCUCAUUACAUAAAAAAAGCAGCAAAUAUAGUUGAAAUGAAAAAGAAGAGACCGUAGAAAGGGGUGGGGGAGCUAGCACAAGAGGCUACAAAGUCCCAGGUUCAAUACCCUGCACCACCAUCAGCCAGAGCUGAGCAGGGCUCUUGUAGGAAAAGAGAAAGGUGGGGGUAUUGGAAGAUUCCCAAGAUGGUGUUGAUAGACCUACAACAAAGAAAUUUGCAAGGGGACACAGAUCUACACCUAAGGUGAGGUAGAACACAAGUCGGUACAGAGCUUUUUCUUGGUUGGUGUGGUUCACAUAUCAGAUUCACACGAAGCAGAAGAGGAAAGCGAGAAGAGGAAGAGACGUGGCACAGUGGUUAAAAUGCAGGACUUAAAAACAUGAGGUCGGGUGGGGGCACACCUGCUUAAGUGCACACAUUACAGUGUGCAGGGACCUGGGUUCAAGCCCCCUGUUCCCACCUGCAGGGGAAAGCUUCACAAGUGAAGAAGCAGGGCUGCAGGUGUCUGUCUUCCUCUCGCCCGUCUUCCCCUUCUCUCUAGAUUUCUCUCUGUCCUGUCCAACAACAGCAACAAUAAAAACAGCAACAAAAACAAGAUGUCCUCCAGGAGUAGUGGAUUUCUAGUGCAGGCACCUAACCCCAGAGAAUUCUGGGGGCAAAAAAAGAAAAAGAAAAAAGACGUCCUGAACUCCACCAGAAUGAUGCUAUGAUUGUCUUGUUCUCUCAUUAACAAAUCUUUAGAAAAACCCCAAAGUCUCAACAUUUCAUAAGAGCCAAGAUACUGACUGAUCUGCUUCCCUGUGUAGCAUCUUUAGCUUUGUGGGCAGCUUCUUUCAGGCACAUCUAUUUCUCUGCAGGACAGGGUGGAAACACCUUUUCUUUCUUCAUAAUUAUCUUGUUAUUUCUCCAUAAAUAUAGAAUAAAAUGAUUGUCUCUGGGCUUCAUGAAGUCACUUCUGCUUCUGUUCUCCCAGGUGAUGUCUAUUACUCUUUUUUUUUUCAAUCUUUAUUGGAUAGAGACAGCCAGAAAUCAAGAGGGGGAAGGAGAGAUAGAGACAGAAAAAAUUAUGCCUUACAAAUUAUGAAGGUUUCCCCCUGCAGGUGGGGACCAGGGCCUUGAACUUGGGUCCUUGUGCACUGUGACAUGUGCACUCAACCAGGUGCGUCACCACCUGGCCCCUCCAUUACUCUUCUAAUAAUCAUCCUGUUCAUCUGCCAGUGUUUCUCAGGUGUUAAUUGUCUAUUCAAAGUCCAUUUUUUUCCGCCCCUAGACCUGUGUUCGCGCUCCUCCAGCCUGGUGGUGACCCUCUGGCUUCUGGUGGGCAAUCUGUUCCCUCUGCUGGCUGGAUUCCUUCUUUGUGUGUGGCACUAGGAGUGGAGUUGUCAAAACGUUCUUAGUGUCACGCCCUCCAAAC